rnacentral:rRNA from 1 species
UACGAAGGGGGCUAGCGUUGCUCGGAAUCACUGGGCGUAAAGCGCACGUAGGCGGAUCUUUAAGUCAGGGGUGAAAUCCUGGAGCUCAACUCCAGAACUGCCUUCGAUACUGUAGAGCUUGAGUUCGGGAGAGGUGAGUGGAACUGCGAGUGUAGAGGUGAAAUUCGUAGAUAUUCGCAAGAACACCAGUGGCGAAGGCGGCUCACUGGCCCGAUACUGACGCUGAGGUGCGAAAGCGUGGGGAGCAAACAGG